CUCCAGCCUGGCGACAGAACGAGACUCCGUCUCAAAAAAAAAAAAAAAAAAAAAAAAAAAAAAAAAAAAAGAAAAGAAAAAAGCAUAUCUGCCAGCCAAGAAUCAGUUUUCAGCUUAAAACACAAUAAUACAGACCAAAUUUAGCUCCUGUUCCCUGAACCAGUGGCAAAAGCAGCUAGUGCACGUGCCCAGGAAGCCACAUGCAGCAUGUUUAUCCCACUAUCCAGCUCUGUGGUGCUUUACUGGUUCUACACGUUAGGAUUACAGAUCCUUGUAGGAAUAGCUUCUGCGCUUUAAUGAUUUCUUAAGAAAAAAUAAAACAAGAUCUAGAUCAUAGACUCCCAUCAGAGAGCUUACUGGGAGAAAGAGCUGUAUCGUGAAUUAUGAAGAUUAAAGGGGCAUCCAACAAGGGGAAAAAUUAAACUAUUAUCUCGUUACUUUGGUAAAUUAAAAUUGCCAGGCCUAGGCAAAGAUCUGACUGGCCAGAGUGAAUUUUGGAGUGAAAUUUUAUGGUUAUGUCUUUUAAAAGCCAUGUAAAUCAGCAAGCGUAAAGCUGACAGGACCUUGCAGGCUUCAGCAAGAACACACUGUCCCUCUCAUUUAUUUAAAAGAAUGCUGCCCCUGCUCAAAGGCCUGCAGUGAGCCAUGCCAAUGUGGUUUGGCUGGACUGUGAGUGCUUGAUGCAGUCUGAUAGGAGGAUGGGGGUGGCGCAGAGAACAUUGAAAUCAGAAAGGAUUCUGCUCUGUAGAGACAAAGGAAACACAGAGACAUAGACAUGGAUCUGGGAAAUACACCUUUUGCUACUCGUUCAGUUUUAGCAAGGAGGUUUCUUGCAUGGCUAAGCAAAACUUAAACUUCCUCUGAGAAUUACAGGAAUUACAGGACCUGACAAAGCUAUGAAGAUUAAAACCUAUAGGAAGAAAAUCUGAACCAGAAACAGUAUGGCAGAAUUGGGAUCUGACUCACAGAGGGAAGAACUUAUAAUUCUUCACAGGUCACAUAGAAGCAUGAGAAUUUGGGUUCAAGCAAGAGAAACAUUUUGCACUGUGCUGGGGGAUUCUACCCACAUAAGUCAGCAUGUUACUUGCUAGAUAAAAGAGCAAUGAAUGGAGUACUUCAACGCCUAAAUACCUGACGUGUGACAGCAAAUGCCUGUUCCCAUGGAGCUGCUGCUUCUGAGAAAGCUUGAAACAGACAAAGAAUAAGGUAGAAAUGACCUCCUCACUAGAGAUGAAAAGAAGCUGUCCUGGUGAGGAAAUUGGAUCCCAGCUUUUGCCGCUAAGAUUCUUCUCUUCUGCCUCUGGUUUUCUUUAUUGUUCACCCCCAGAAGCAAUCGCUCUCUCACAAGGCAACACACGCAAUAGAGUGAACAGUGAUUCUACAGUCUGAUUCUGGAAAAGGCGACCACAGUGGAAAGAGUGAUCCACACAAGUAUAGGGCCUCCUGAUUAAAACACUAAGAUUUCAUCUCACGCUGUGCCUUUAUACUGUUGAGAUACUAAAGAGGACACUAAAGAUCAAAGUGCUACUUUACAACAUUUUGAAGAAAACAACUGCUACCUGUGUAUUAGUUUGUGCAGAUGUGUUACACAGCUUAGCUGUGUCUGUACCAGUUUAUUAGAAUCAAAGUAUUUUUAAAGUACCUAAGGCCAGGCACAGUGGCUCACACCUGUAAUCCCAGCACUUUGGGAGGCUGAGGCAAGUGGAUCACUUGAGAUCAGGAAUUCAAGACCAGCCUGGCCAACAUGGUGAAACCCCAUCUCUACUAAAAAUACAAAAAUUAGCCAGGCAUGGUGUCACAUGCCUGUAAUCCCAGUGACUCAAGAGGCUGAGGUAUGAGAAUCAAUCGUUUGAACUCAGAAGGAGAGGUUGCAGUGAGUGGAGAUAGCAACACUGUACUCCAGCCUGGGUGACAGAGUGAGAUCCAGUCUCAAAAAAAAAAAAAAAAAAAAAAAAAGUACCUAAAACUUGUGAUAUGGUUUGGCCUUGUCCCCACCCAAAUCUCAUAUUGAAUUGAAUUAUGGGGAGAGGUCUUUCCUGCGCUGUUCUUAUGAUAGUGAAUGAGUUUCAUGAGAUCUGAUGGUUUUAAAAAUGGGAGUUUCCCUGCACAAGCUCUCUUUUGUUGCCUGCUGCCAUCCACGUAAGAUGUGACUUGCUCCUCUUUACCUUCCACCAUGAUUUUGAGGCCUCCCCAGUCCUGUGGAACUGUAAGUUCAAUAAACCUCUUUCUUUUGUAAAUUGUCCAGUCUCGGGUAUGUCUUUAUCAGCAGCAUGAAAACAGAGUAAUACAGCAUGUGAGAUACAAUGCUGAGCACUGAAGAAACAAGGAUGGCACAGCCCCUGACUUCCAGAAGCUCACACUUUAGAAAAGCAAGUGUAUUAAUAACUACUUAUGUAUAACAUUUGUGUUAUUUAGAAAAUGCAAUAAGGGCACAGAUGAAGAGCAAAGUACAGUGGUAAAGAAGAGAGAGUUUGUGAGAAAGGUACAGGAGAAAAGACAUUUAUGCUGGGCUUCAAAGGAUGAGCUGACAUUUCAAUUCCCAUCCUUAGACAAAGCUAGGAAAGGCAUUUCAGCAGAAGCAAACUGAAUAAAGCCCUCGAGACCUGGAAGUGCAUGUCAUGCCCAAGAACCAUGUAAACCUGAAAGCUUUGAGAGCUAGAUAAUAUUUCACCAACUGUGGUCAUCAGAAUCACCAAUAUUUGGGGUGUUUGUUUAAUUUUUUAGCUUCCUAAACCCUAGCACAAGCCCAAUGAAGGUGGGAAGAGGAAUCUGUAUUUUAGAAGCAACCCUUUCCCCUCCAAAUUCUUCAUAGAGUGAUUGUGAUGAAUAAAGGUUGAGGACCAUCUGGUUUAGGCUGUUCUAGGCAGGGUGGAGAUGUAGGGAAGGACACACAAUAACCCUGUUACUCGGUUGUGCUGUGGUUAUGUGCCUAUACACUAUCAGACAGACUGGUCAAUUUUGUUCCAAAUAUGUUCAGUGUUAAACAGAACCCAGUAUUGUAAACUGUAAUUACAAAUUAUAAAACUUCUGUAAACAGAAGCCUACUUCUCAUACACUGAAAGAACCAAAAGGCAAGAUGCAACUGAGACCGUUUAAAAAUGGUGAAAUGUUUUCCAGACUCCAGCUACAAGGAGAAUCCUCUUUGUAAUGCUGAGUAUCAUGAUUAAAAUCUCCCACUGCUCAGCAGCACAAAACUGUCUCAAGGAGUCUCCAAAGAGAGUCAUCUCAGAGUAUCUCACAGCAGUCCUUCCAUCCUCAAGCUUGGUUGUAUCUCUACACAGGCCUACAUGAAAGCAGAGACACUGCAAACAAGACAGGGCAGAGAGCAAGCCGGGAAGUUGGUGAACUUGGAAUUUGAUGAGCUCCUUGUCUGAAACAUGAAGCUCAGACCAGAAGAACUGGAUGCUCUAGAGAGAGAUGGACCUCUCCUCAAUGGGAAUAUCAACAUCAGUACAAAUUGAUGAUUCCAGUUAAGAAACAGACAACAGUAGUCAGAGCAGCACAUAAAGCCAGAAGGAGGCAAAAUAUUGGUAGCCACUCAGAGCUAUGCGCUUUCCCAACCUGUCCUCAGAGUGAACUGUUGCUAAUUUCAGAGCCAAGUAGUAGUCCUACUACCAACCAUCCCAAUAAUUUCACAUACCAACAUCCACAAUUAAGUUACUGGUUUAUAAACCAUAAACCACAAUUUAUCUAGGGUGUUGACUUAAUGUUUUUCAGCAAAGUUUUUUCCCUAUCUAAGGUAACAUUUCUCAUAUAAUGGUCAAGGGACCCCUACCUUGAGAUUGUUAAAAUGAAGAGACUUGGGUACCUUUCACAACUCUCUGAGGUUAGGGCCCAGGAAUCUGCAUUUUCACACACUCCCUCAGAGCAUUCUCUCUCACAAGGACUUUCCCUUCAGGGAACUCCUGUUACACUCAGUACUGAAUAGUGUAAGAGUAUUUUUGUUUUCCAUUAGAAUUUUGCUAGUGGAACUUUGAUUGGCAAUAGGAAGUGGCUGGAAUAACAUAGGGAUUUUGGUCUGCAUUGCUAUCUAACUGCCUGGGUUCCCUGUGACAUGUCUCUCAGGUGUCAGGUAUCUCUAGCUCUCAGGUAUCUCUAGCUCAGCAACUUUCCCACCCUCAUCAACCUUCCCAUCCUCAAUCCACCCAACCCCACUCUCCCACAUUAAAAUCAAAGAACUUCUACUGUAAAGUCCCUGGUUAAACAAUCAUCUUCAGGUACUGUCAAAGUAAGAUAACUAAACCAGGCUCCCUCGUUGGUACCAAUCAGAUUGGGUAGGAACUGGUAUGGACAUCAAACAGAAUUGGCACAUAACCAGGUACAGUUGCAUGCAGGCCAGCAUGAAAGUAUCAGAAUAUUUGGUUAAUUGAAUUAAAAGAACCAUUGAGUUAUUCUGACAUUGUGAAAACAUAGUCAAAAUUCAGCUCUUUACAAUGCUUUUGCAUCAUUGGAGUUGAGUGCAUCAGGGAGACUGAUAAAUCAUACAUGGCUCAUAAAGACUAAGAGCAAAUCAUAAAAUAAUAGAGCUGGAAGGGAACUGAAAGAUGACCCGGUCUGGGUUUUAUUUUGCAAAUGAAACAACCAGAGCCUGCAGAGGCCUAGUGACCAAGGUCAUACAGCUCGUUAGUGGCUGAGAAUCACAAUGUCCUAACUUCUGGCUGAGGGUUUUUUUCUAUGAUGCCUCCCCUGAGACUAAAAUAAAUCCC
rnacentral:lncRNA from 10 species